UUCACGGAGAGUUUGAUCCUGGCUCAGGACGAACGCUGGCGGCGUGCUUAACACAUGCAAGUCGAACGAUGAAGCCCUUCGGGGUGGA
rnacentral:ncRNA from 1 species